UACGUAGGGUCCGAGCAUUGUCCGGAAUUAUUGGGCGUAAAGGGCUCGUAGGCGGUUUGUCGCGUCGGGAGUGAAAACUCAGGGCUCAACCCUGAGCGUGCUUCCGAUACGGGCAGACUAGAGGUAUGCAGGGGAGAACGGAAUUCCUGGUGUAGCGGUGGAAUGCGCAGAUAUCAGGAGGAACACCGGUGGCGAAGGCGGUUCUCUGGGCAUUACCUGACGCUGAGGAGCGAAAGCAUGGGGAGCGAACAGG
rnacentral:rRNA from 1 species